AGAACGAACGCUGGCGGCAUGCCUAACACAUGCAAGUCGAACGCUUUUGGGGCUUCGGUCCCAAAGGAGUGGCGCACGGGUGAGUAGCGCGUGGGAACCUGCCCUGGAGUGGGGGAUAACCGAGGGAAACUUCGGCUAAUACCGCAUACGCCGGGAAACCGGGAAAGAUUUAUCGCUCUAGGAGGGGCCCGCGUCGGAUUAGGUAGUCGGUGGGGUAACGGCCUACCAAGCCUUUGAUCCGUAGCUGGUCUGAGAGGAUGAUCAGCCACACUGGGACUGAGACACGGCCCAGACUCCUACGGGAGGCAGCAGUGGGGAAUAUUGGACAAUGGGCGCAAGCCUGAUCCAGCAAUGCCGCGUGAGUGAUGAAGGCCUUCGGGUUGUAAAGCUCUUUCGCACGCGAGGAUGAUGACGCUAGCGUGAGAAGAAGCCCCGCUAACUACGUGCCAGCAGCCGC
rnacentral:rRNA from 1 species